UACAGAGGUCCCAAGCGUUGUUCGGAUUCAUUGGGCGUAAAGGGUGCGUAGGUGGCGCCGUAAGUCAGGCGUGAAAUCUCGGGGCUUAACUCCGAAACUGCAUUUGAUACUGCGGUGCUUGAGGACUGGAGAGGAGACUGGAAUUUACGGUGUAGCAGUGAAAUGCGUAGAGAUCGUAAGGAAGACCAGUGGCGAAGGCGGGUCUCUGGGCAGUUCCUGACGCUGAGGCGCGAAGGCCAGGGGAGCAAACGGG
rnacentral:rRNA from 1 species